UGGGGAAUAUUGGACAAUGGGCGCAAGCCUGAUCCAGCCAUGCCGCGUGAGUGACGAAGGUCUUCGGAUUGUAAAGCUCUUUUGGCGGGGACGAUAAUGACGGUACCCGCAGAAUAAGCCCCGGCUAACUUCGUGCCAGCAGCCGCGGUAAUACGAAGGGGGCUAGCGUUGUUCGGAAUUACUGGGCGUAAAGCGCACGUAGGCGGACUGAUAAGUCAGGGGUGAAAUCCCGGGGCUCAACCUCGGAACUGCCUUUGAUACUGUUAGUCUCGAGUCCGGAAGAGGUGAGUGGAAUUCCUAGUGUAGAGGUGAAAUUCGUAGAUAUUAGGAAGAACACCAGUGGCGAAGGCGGCUCACUGGUCCGGUACUGACGCUGAGGUGCGAAAGCGUGGGGAGCAAACAGGAUUAGAUACCCCCGUAGUCCCUGAGCGGGCUGGCAAGGCGCAU
rnacentral:rRNA from 1 species